GUGCUCGUUUCAACAGCACAUAUACUAAAAUUAGAAUGAUACAGAGAUUAGCAAUGGCCCCUGCGCAAGGAUGACACACAAAUUCAUGAAGCGUUCCAUAUUUUU